rnacentral:misc_RNA from 1 species
GGUAGGACGACCAGACUAUGGCCGGAGCAAGUUGGGAGAGCAUUAGAGGCUUGUAGCUCCCUUUUUCUUCCCUUCACGAUUUCCCCCUUCCCCGUUGUUCAUGGAUGCCAUUGGAAGUCCCUUGAAGCUCUCUGGAUGAUACUGUUGCUGGAGAGAACUCCACUGUCCAUGGGUCUUCACCGGAGAAUAGAAGUAGGAGAGAGAGAAAGGUGAUGAGAGAGAGAACUUCGAAGGGGG